AUUGAACGCUGGCGGCAUGCUUUACACAUGCAAGUCGAACGGUAACAGGCCUUCGGGUGCUGACGAGUGGCGAACGGGUGAGUAAUGCAGCGGAACGUACCCAGAGGUGGGGGAUAACGCAGCGAAAGCUGUGCUAAUACCGCAUGUGAUCUGAGGAUGAAAGCGGGGGACCGCGCAGCAAUGUUUGGCCUCGCGCCUUUGGAGCGGCCGAUGUCGGAUUAGCUAGUUGGUGGGGUAAAGGCCUACCAAGGCGACGAUCCGUAGCUGGUCUGAGAGGACGACCAGCCACACUGGGACUGAGACACGGCCCAGACUCCUACGGGAGGCAGCAGUGGGGAAUUUUGGACAAUGGGCGCAAGCCUGAUCCAGCAAUGCCGCGUGCGGGAAGAAGGCCUUCGGGUUGUAAACCGCUUUUGGUAGGAACGAAACGGUGUCCGCUAAUACCGGGCGCUACUGACGGUACCUGCAGAAUAAGCACCGGCUAACUACGUG
rnacentral:rRNA from 1 species